rnacentral:rRNA from 1 species
AACGCGAAGAACCUUACCUGGGCUCGAACGGCUUAAGACCAUCUUUGGAAACAGAGACUUCCCGCAAGGGACUUGAGUCGAGGUGCUGCAUGGCUGUCGUCAGCUCGUGUCGUGAGAUGUUGGGUUAAGUCCCGCAACGAGCGCAACCCUUGUCCUGUGUUGCCACUCCGUAAGGAAGCACUCGCAGGAGACCGCCAGGGAUAACCUGGAGGAAGGUGGGGAUGAUGUCAAGUCAUCAUGGCCUUUAUGUCCAGGGCUACACACGUGCUACAAUGGACGGUACAAAGCGCUGCAAACCCGCGAGGGGGAGCUAAUCGCAAAAAGCCGUUCUCAGUUCGGAUCGCAGGCUGCAACUCGCCUGCGUGAAGCUGGAAUCGCUAGUAAUGGCGUAUCAGAACGAUGCCGUGAAUACGUUCCCGGGCCUUGUA